GCCCUUAGAGUUUGAUCCUGGCUCAGGAUGAACGCUAGCGGUGUGCCUGAGAUAUGCAAGUCGAGCGACGAACUUAGAGAGCUUGCUCUUUAAGUUCGAGCGGCGGACGGCUGAGUAACGAGUAAGAAUUUGCCCCUUAGUGUGGAAUAGCUCACCGAAAGGUGUGGUAAUACCGCAUAGUCUGGUCUUUUUGAUCAGUAAAGGACGUAACUGUUCGCUAAGGGAUAAGCUUGCUUCCUAUCAGGUAGUUGGUGAGGUAACGGCUCACCAAGCCAAUGACGGGUAGCUGGUCUCAUGAGGACGACCAGCCAGAGGGGGACUGAGACACGGCCCCCACUCCUACGGGAGGCAGCAAUUAGGAAUAGUCGGCAAUGGGCGAAAGCCUGACCGCGCGACACCGCGUGUAGGAUGAAGGUCUAACGAUUGUAAACUACUGUGGCAUGGGAAAAAGGCGUAAGCUUGAUGGUACCAUGCUAGAAAGGGGCCGCUAACUGC
rnacentral:rRNA from 1 species